UCCGGAUAUCGAGUAUCAUUGCUAGAUGGUCACUUUGAUUGGUAUAGAAAAAUUUUGUUGAAAAUUAUAUCCUAAAGCUAAUCAUUUGACGAUUGUGCUAAUUAUAAAUGUAUAUGAAUUGAUAAAUAAUAAAAGUUAUUUGAUAUUUUUCAUCACAAGGAUACAUCUUCUAAUGAACUCCUAUAUUGUGAUAAAGUCCUUA
rnacentral:lncRNA from 1 species